CCUGCCGGACCCCCACUGCUAUCGAGGUGGGACUAAGCCAUGCUAGUCGAACGAACAGAGCUAUGUCUGUAAGUGGCAUACUGCUCAGUAACACGUAGCUAACCUACCCUUAGGACGUCGAUAACCCCGAGAAAUUGGGGCUAAUAGGCGAUAGGUGUGAUGUCCUGGAAUGGUAUCACGCCCAAAGGUAUCCCAUACAUGUUUGGUAUACGCCUAAGGAUGGGGCUGCGGCCGAUCAGGCAGUUGGUGAGGUAAUGGCUCACCAAACCUUUGACCGGUACGGGCCAUGAGAGUGGUAGCCCGGAGAUGGACACUGAGACAAGGGUCCAGGCCCUACGGGGCGCAGCAGGCGCGAAACCUCCUCAAUGCACUAACGUGCGAAGGGGUUACCUCGAGUGCCACCUGAAGAAGGUGGCUUUUCCUUGGUCUAAAAAGCCUCGGGAAUAAGAGGGGGGCAAGACUGGUGUCAGCCGCCGCGGUAACACCAGCCCCUCGAGUGGUGGGGAUGAUUAUUUGGCCUAAAGCGUCCGUAGCCGGCCGUGAAAGUCUUCCGUUAAAUCCAGCGUCUCAAGCGUUGGACCGCGGGAGAUACUACACGGCUAGAGAGUGGGAGAGGUCAGCGGUAUUCUGGGGGUAGGGGCGAAAUCCUUUGAUCCCCGGAGGACCACCAGUGGCGAAGGCUGCUGACUAGAACACGUCUGACGGUCAGGGACGAAAGCUGGGGUAGCGAACCGGAUUAGAUACCCGGGUAGUCCCAGCCGUAAACGAUGCAUGCUAGGUGUUGGGUUGGCCACGAGCCACCCCAGUGCCGCAGGGAAGCCGUUAAGCAUGCCGCCUGGGAAGUACGAUCGCAAGGUUGAAA
rnacentral:rRNA from 1 species